rnacentral:rRNA from 1 species
AACAGGUGGAGCCUGCGGUUUAAUCGGACUCAAACGCCGGGAAACUCACCAGAUAAGACAGCUGAAUGAUAGUCGGGCUGAAGACUCUACUUGACUAGCUGAGAGGAGGUGCAUGGCCGUCGUCAGUUCGUACUGUGAAGCAUCCUGUUAAGUCAGGCAACGAGCGAGACCCACGCCAACAGUUGCCAGCUCGUCCUCCGGGAUGGUGGGGACACUGUUGGGACCGCCUCUGCUAAAGAGGAGGAAGGAAUGGGCAACGGUAGGUCAGCAUGCCCCGAAUUAUCUGGGCUACACGCGGGCUACAAUGGGUGGGACAAUGGGUAUCGACACCGAAAGGUGAAGGCAAUCUCCUAAACCCAUCCGUAGUUCGGAUUGUGGGCUGCAACUCGCCCACAUGAAGCUGGAAUCUGUAGUAAUCGUGUCUCAAAAUGGCACGGUGAAUAUGUCCCUGCUCCUU